AAUAAACUCCUGUGUGGAUUUAAUAUUGGUCUCUGGUUGGUUCUCUCUCACUGGGUCUAACAUUCUUGGAGGCCCCAGCGAGAUAGCCAGCUGCUCUGGAGCUUAUUAUCUUGGAGCCAUUGUUUCUUUUUAGGAGAGACCAGGAUCAGACAUUGGCAGUGUUUGGCCCCUCUGGACACCGGUCUGCGGAAGGAGAGGCCACCCUGACGGUAUUCUGGGGCUCUGGGUAGGCCAGUCCCAGUCGGGCCCUAUCGCCGAUCAACCAACCCGCAGGAGUUUAUUGGGAAAGCCUCUAGAGCCAACCUGGGAUGAUUGCCAGCAGCUUUCACAGAUCCUGUUCACCACUGAGGAACCGGACUGCAUUUAACAACAGACAGUCAAAGAGGCCCUGGGGCCAAACCCCAGUGUCACUCCCGGAACUCCGGGGCAUUUGGCCAAGUCUCUUCAAGCCUUACAGAUUCUUCAGAGUGAGAUCCAGGCUACAAAACAACAGGC
rnacentral:lncRNA from 1 species